UACAGAGGUCCCGAGCGUUGUUCGGAUUCACUGGGCGUAAAGGGUGCGUAGGUGGCUGGAAAAGUUUGAUGUGAAAGCUCAGGGCUUAACCCUGAAAUGGCAUUGAAUACUGUCGAGCUGGAGGUUUGGAGGGGGGACUGGAAUUCUUGGUGUAGCAGUGAAAUGCGUAGAUAUCAAGAGGAGCACCAGUGGCGAAGGCGAGUCCCUGGACAACACCUGACACUGAGGCACGAAAGCUAGGGGAGCAAACAGG
rnacentral:rRNA from 1 species